UAAAUCAGGUCGGCCAUUGCCCACCAGUGC
rnacentral:piRNA from 1 species